UCCUUAAUUUAAAAAUACUCUAUUGCUAAAAAUAUGCUAACCAUCAUCUGACUCUUCAAUGAGUCGUUAAUCUUUUUGGUGGAGAGUCUUGCCUCCGUGUUGGUGGUUGCUGACUGAUCAGGGUGGUGGUUGCUGAAGGUCAGGGUGGUUGUGGCAAUUUCUUAAAAUAAGACAACAGUGAAAUUUGCCUCACCGAUUGACUCUUCCUUUCCUGAACAAUUUCUCUGUAGUAUGCAAUGCUGUAAGCAUUUAACCCACACAGAACUUCUUUCAAAAUAAGAAUCCAUCUUUUCAAAUCCUGCUGCUGCUUUAUCAACUAAGCUGACUUAAUAUUCUAAACCCUUUGUUGUCACUUCAAUAACCUUCACAGCAUCUUUACCAGAAGUAGAUUCCAUCUCAAAACACUUUACUCAUUUCAAAGAAGCAACUCCUCGUCCAUUAAAGUUGUAUCAGGACAGGAGGAGGUGGGUAUGGCUCAGUGGUGGAGCACCUGCUCAGCAUGCACGGGGUCCUGGGUUCGAUCCCAGUACCUACAUUUAAAAAUAAAUAAUUACCUCCCCCACCAAAAAAUAAUUAAUUAAUUUUAAAAAAUGUUUUUAAGUUGUAUCAGGAGGUUGCAGCACUUGUCACAUCUUCAGGCUCCACUUGCAGUUCUCUUGCUAUUUCCACCACACCGGCAGUUACGUCUGCUCCUGAUAUCUUGAACCCCUCAAAGCCAUUCAUGAAGGCUGGAAUCAGCUUCUUCCAAACUCCUGUUACUGAGAUUUUGGCUUCUUCCCAUGAAUCAUGAGUGUUGUUAAUGGCAUCUAGUAUAGCGAAUCCUUUCCAGAAGGUUUUCAACCGACUCUGCCCAGUCUCAUCAGAGGAGUUACUGUCUAUGACAGUUAUAACCUUACAAAAUGUAUUUCUUAAGUGAUAAGACUUGAAAGUCAAAAUUACUCCUUGAUCCAUGGGCUACAGAAUGGAUGCUGUGUUAGCAGGCAUGAAAACACUAAUCUCUAGAUCCACAUUAUAUAUAUAAAAUAGGUAAAGAACAAGGACCUACUUAUAGCACAGGGAACUAUAUUAAGUUUCUUGUAAUGAGCUAUAAUGGAAGAGAAUGUGAAAUACAUAUAUAUAUAGAUACAUGUAUAUAGAUAUAUAUAUAUAACUGAAUCACUUUGCUAUACACCUGAAACUAACACUGUAAAUCAACUGCAUUUCAAUAAAAAAUAAGAAUUUAAAAAAAACUAAUUAAAAAGAAGCAUAACCAAUUUAUGGGUAUUUUUUUAAAUUUAUUUUUUUGGUGGAGGUACUGGGGAUUGAAAGCAGGACCCUGUGCAUUCCAGGCAGAAACUCUACCACUAGGCUAUAUCCUCACCCCAGUUUAUGAGUAGCUUGUUAAAAUUUCAGGAUGAAAAGAAUCUGAAACUUUUCUUUUGAGGUAUUAAUAUUAAAAUACACAAAAUAAAGAAUUUUAUUUAAAAAGAACACUAAUCUCAUUUUAUAUCUUCAUCAGAGCUCUUGGGUGACAAGGUACAUUGUCCAUGUGCAGUAAUAUUUUGAAAGUAAUCUUUCUUUUUCUGAACCGUAGUUCUCCACAGUGGGCUAAAAAGAAUCAGUAAACCGUAUUAUAAAUGGAUGUGCUGUCAUCCAGGCUUUGUUGUUCCAUUCCUAGAGCACAGGCAGUGUUGAUUAAGCAUAAUUCUUACGGAGCCAAGGAUUUUCAGAAUGGUAAGUGAGUGCUGGCUUUAACUUAACAGCACCAGCUACAUUAGCUCCUAACAAGAGAGCUUGUCCUUUGAAGCUUUGAAGCCAGGCAUUGACUUCUCCUCCCUAGCUAUGAAAGUCUCAGGUGGCAUCUUCUUCCAGUAAGACAAGGCUGUUUCAUUUACAUUGAAAAUCUGUUGUUUAGUGUAGCCGCCUUCAUUAAUUACCUUAGCAAGGUCUUCUGGGUAACUUGCUGCGGCUUGUAUCAGCACUUACUGCUUUGUCUUGCACUCUUAUGUUAUGGAGAUGGCUUCUUAGACCUCAUAAACUGCUAGCUUCAGACUUGUCUUCUGCAGCUUCCUCCCCUCUCUCAACCUUCAUAGGAGUAAAGAGAGUUAGGGCCUUGCUCUGGAGUAGGCUUUGGCUUAAGGGAAUAUUAUGAUUGGUUUGAUCUAGCCAGACCACUAAGACUUUCUCCAUAUCAGCAAUAAGGCUGCUUCACUUUCUUGUCAUUCAUGUGUUCACUAGACGAGCACUUCUAAUUUCCUUCAAGAACCUUUCCCUUGCACUCACAGUGUGGCUAACUGGUGCAGCAGGCCUAGCUUUUGGCCUGUCUCAGCUUUCGACAUGCCUUCCUCACUCAGCUUAAUCAUUUUUAGCUUUUGAUUGAAAGAUAAAGACAUGUGACUCUUCCUUUCACUUGAACACUUAGAGGUCAUUGUAGGGUUAUUAAUUGGCCUAAUUUCAAUAUUGUUGUGUCUCAGAGAAUAAGGAAGCCCGAGGAGAGGGCGAGAGCUGGGGAAGAGCUGGUCGAUGGAGCAGUGAGAACACCCAUUGUUAUCAGUAAAGUUCACCAUCUUAUUAUUUAGGAAGAGCCUGCUCUGUGCCAGGCACCAUGCGAGGCUUGGUUUAAAAGAUGAAAAGAGCAGAAUGGCUGCACGUAAGGAAUUUCGGUCUAACGGGAGAGGCUGACGUAGACAUCGUUACAUUGGACAGAAAAGGCUGUAGCAGAGAUGACAUCCAACCUUUGCCUUUGAAACAGACAAAGUGUGUGUGGCUGUCAUGUGCUAGCACGGUGCUAAGUGCUCUUGCUUCCCCUCUACUGCUGUGACUGUCACCAGAGAAGGAUGCUGGAUGCGGUGACUUUUUAAACCAAGGAGGGCUUUUCAGGAAACAAUACUGGUGUUAAAUGAGCAACUGCUUGUGGUGCCAGGAAUCUUGAUGUGGGGAGGUUCUCAGAAUCACUUUUCUAAGGCCUCUGUAUGAUGUUAUUCUCUAAUUCUUUGUCUAGUUUUUAUUAAAAAAUACUUGUGAUUUGUUAUUUUUCUAAGUCCAUUCGAAAGAGUUAAACACGAAACCCUGCUUCCCAGUGUGUUGAACACAUGUGACUAUUAUUAGAAAAAUGGCAUUCCUCUUUGGCAUUGAAGGGGUUCAGAAGGAGCCUCCCUAAAACACACCUCUUGAGCAUAUGGGUUAGUUUGAGCUGAAGUCAAUUAAGGUCCAAAAGACUCAGGAAGAGUUGUUGUUGUUCGUAUGGUUGUUCUACCUCCCUCUUCACUGCCUUGAAGAAUUUAUAUGGAGGGUCUGGUCCUAGAAGAGGGCUCUCACCAG